rnacentral:lncRNA from 1 species
UUUUUUCAGAUCUAGAAAACCCUAGAUAUGUGGAAAAGAUGAAAUCGAGAGAAAUUGAAACAAAGAUUUGAAUUGCAAUGAAGAAAAAAUUGCAGAAAUCGAAAUGUGAAUUGAACUCCUUGUUUUGGAGAUCGAAAACCCUAAAAAAAAUUGAUUUCAGAGAGAAAGUAGAGAAGAAAGAGAAAGAGAGAGAGAAAUGGGAGGAGACUGGAGAGGUUAAUGGCGGGUAACUAGAAUGAAGGAGGGAUACCGACUUGAAGACUUUAAAGCGGUUUUCAAGUUUCAAAAAAAAAAGAGUAAACUAUUUAUGGGUGUAGUUAAGUAUUUUAGUAGAUAAUUAAUUCGGAGUUUCGUACCCAAGUAACUACAUAAAGUCUAGAUCAAAGUGGUAUAUGCAGUAAACUUCUCUUUGUCAAUGAGAUGAUAUAUUUUUCACAUCUCAUUUGGAUAUACAGGUCAAGAAAAUCUGGACAUCAAAGAUCAAAGCGAAGCAAAGACGAUACCUAUGACAAGCGCAAAAAUCUAUAUUAGACCAUGUUUAAAACGAUCUUGUAUGUCUGGACCAACUAUAGUUGAUUGUUGGUACUGUCAACUCAAUCAUAAGUAUUAGUGUAUUACAUUGCUAAACCAUUGUGUGAGUAUGCUUGUCAUGGCUGAUGUAUGAUCCUUGUGUACUAUGAUAUAAUUGGGUGAGAAUGUGAUAUAUUCUCCUAUUAUAACUCUGAAUAAAAUUCAAGGCGCAAUUAUGAGUCGUUAAGAAUUUAGUUUUAAAUUCUUAUACCAACAACCUGACUAAAAUACCCUUAGAACUAUGGUCUUAUCGUAAAUUGAUAUAACACCUUUUAAUGGUUUUAAUACUUUUACUAUAAUUUAACAUAAAUUGGUUGAAUUUUAUUUAUGGGCAACCCAAUAAAAAAACAUUAUAUAUAUAUAUAUAUAUAUAUAGAUAAAUAUAUAUUAUUUUUUUAUAAGUUCAUGCUUAUAUUAGGCAUUGGUAAUUUCAUGAGAUAAUUAGCGAUUGCCCCUUCAUGAGAUAAUUAGCGAUUGUCCCUCUUUUUAAAAUUGAAGGUGGCGACUACCCCUCUUUUUCAAAUUGUUUGGUGACCACCCCUCUUUUUAGCUCAUUUCUACUAUAUUUCCUAUUUUACCCUUAAGCAUGUGUUUCAUGUUUGCCCCUAUUUUCUCAAAACCACACUAUUAUGCUGAGUCAGCAACCCAUAGUGGUUUUAUUACAAACCGUAGAUGUAAAACAACUACAGAUCAACGACUAAGAUCUAAUCCAAUUUAAUGUCUAUCUCGAUACCCAUCUAAAUGCAAAUCUAUGGUUCAAAUCAUGUGUAAAGUAGUUUAACUUCACCAAUUCACAUAAAAGGGAUUAUACUUCUUCCUCAACUAAACCCUAGUAUAACACCCACAUACACAUAUCAGCUUCAUAUCUCUUAACCUUACACAUUUGACAAUGAACGUGUACAAAAAAUAGAACACAUUGUUUUAAGAAUACCCCAUAGAAGAGAAAAUUGUUUAGGGAUAGCCCCCUUUUGCAGAGAAGAGAACAUACCGUCAUAUUCAGUGAAGUAGAUCGAUGAAGUAUUCCAGAGAGAAGUGAAGUGAAAAGAUAUAAGGUUAGAGGAUAAGUAAAGUGCUUGGAAAGAAGAAGUAAAGAGAGAAGUGAAAAAUUUAGGAGGAAGAAGGGUUUAUCUAUUAAGAAAGAUGAAGAAUUCGAGAGGAAAAAAGGUUUUAAAGAAGAAGAAGAGCUGCAACGGUUAUAUCCAGGUGGCAACUAAUGGGUGGUUUGAUUUUUGAAUUUUGGGAAAAUUAAAUAUUUAGAUAGGUAUCGAGAUAGACAUUAGAUUGGAUUAGAUCUUAGCCGUUGAUUUGUAGUUGUUUUAGAUCUAUGGUUUGUAAUGAAACCACUAUAGGUUGCUGACUCAACAUAGUAGUGUGGUUUUGAGAAGGGAGGGGCAAAUAUGGAACACAUGCUUAAGGGUAAAAUAGAAAAUAUAGUAAAAAAAGAUGCUAAAAAGAGAGGUGGUCACGAAACAAUUUGAAAAAAGAGGGGCAAACGCUAAUUAUCUCUAAUUUCAUUAGCUAACAAAGAAGAUAACAGUUUAACAGAAUGAAAACAGAGUUAAGCAUGACCAGAAAGUUUUGCCCAAAUUGUAGGAGUUUGAAUUUGUUUCACACUCUCCACCAGAUUUUGCCACGUACUACUAAUUUUUUUUUUUUUAAAUUUAACUAGUCCCACUAGGUUAACAACACCCAUCUUAGUGUUUUAGUUUUUUAAUUAAUUUUACUUAAUAUUAAAAAAAAAAUCAAAAUUUUUUAUUUUUUUAUAUAGCCACGUGGCAAGAUCUAGGAGAAAGUAUUGUUCCGCACUCCUGCCAAUGAGUGAGCAGCCUUGUUUUCACUUCUAGUGCAAUGCCUUAUAGACCAGGACCUAGGGCAUGUUCGACAAUAACCUAUAAAUUUCACUUUGGGACCAAGGACGGAUCUACAGGUUGGCUUGAUCGGGCUGAAGCUCGGGGUGAAAUUUUGAAAAAUUAGUACUUUUACUUAUACCCAAACCCACCACUGCAAAAAAAAUUCUUAAAUUAUUGUACACAAGCCCUACCCAUUUUGGAUUACUGUAUCUAAGCCCAACCCAAAAUUAAAUCCUGGAUGGGGACAAAUGACAUAAUCACGACAAUACACUGUUUGGUGCUCAACUGCCCACAUCUGGGCAGCUGGGUCGAUUUGUACUUAUGUAAUUUUUUAGACUAAAAACCAAAGAAAAUUUGAGUGAAUUGCAAAAAAGUUGUUAAUCCAAUUGGUAUUUGGCAAACAAUAUAGUAACUGUUAACAGCAAAAGAGAAAGAAAAAAAAAUCAUUAAGGGUGUGUUUGUUUAAAAUGCUGAAUGUUGGAUACUGAAUGUUGGAUGCUUAAUGCUGGAUACUUAAUGCUGAAUGCUGAAUGCUGAACACUGAAUGCUGGAAAAGUUGUUUGGUUAUCAUUUUUAAGAAGUUCUGUUUUUGAUUUGUUUGUUUAUGCAUAAGUGUGAUUUUGACCAUGUUACCCUAUUAUUGGAAAAGUAUUUUGACAAUACACAGUACCUUAUCACAUAACCCAAAAACCUAAAGUUGAUUUGCACUCUGGUUGCGCAAGUUGACCAUUCAGUGUUGUGCUUCAGAUGAGAAUGUUUCACCCUUAGCCAAAAUAUUUGUGUAACUACACUAUAUUGUUACGUCGUACAAACAGAAAAAUGUUCUAACAACAAAACUAUACACGCCAAUUUUUCUUCUAAAACAUGAUAUUUAAAAAAAAAAAUCUUAACCUUUUAAACGGCUCGUCUAAAAAUUCUAAAUUUUGGAUAUGGUACAACAGAAAUCGUCAUGAACAUAUGGAAAAUAUUUCAAAGUAAACAGACAAAGGAAAGAUCCCUUACUAAGCAAACGAAUCUGACUGUAAUUUUUCUUCUAAAACAUGACAAUCACAAAAAAAUCUGUAACUUUCAAACGACUCGUUUAAAAAUUUCGAAUUUUGGAUAUGAUACAAUAUAAAUCGUCAGGAACAUAUAGUAAAACCUUUAAAGUGAUCAGACAAAAGAAAGUCCCCUUAUUAAGCAAACGAAUCUGACUGUAACGUAAUUUUUCUUGUAAAACAUAACAACCACAAAAAAAAUCUGUAACUUUCAAAUCGAUCGUCUAAAAAUUCUAAAUUGUAGAUAUGAUAUAACAGAAAUAUUCAGGAACUUAUGGUAAAAAUUUCAAAGUGAUCAGACAAAGGAAAUGCCAUUAACUAAGCCAAUGAAUUUGACUGUGAUAUUACUUAAUGGUUAUAGAUGAUAAAAACAAUUUUUAUAAGGGUAGAAUUGUCUAAAUAAUACAACAAACAUUAAAAAGUUAAAUUAAGCGUGAGAUUUUCGUUGGGCCAAAAUUGCUGAAAUAUCCAACUACUCCAUAAAUACUUAACCGACAUGUAUCAGUUCUUGAUUUGUCUUUUUGUAAAUUGUUUACCUAAUCUUUCAACAAGUCAUCACUCAUACUUCUCUCUAAUCUUUUCUUUACUCUGUUUCAAAGUAAUUCACAAACAUCACACGCGCAAAGCUGAAACAUUCCCAUUUGGCAUUUGAUUUUAAUUUUUUUUUUUUUUUAUUUAUUUCUUCUGCAAAGAUUUGUUGUUUUUUCUUUUGUUUUCUUCUUCUUUGUUAGUGGUUCCCCUGCAAUCUAUGGGUAUAUGGGUAGGUGUAGGUAGUUUAACUUAGCUUUAACUCUUAUUUCUCUCUUUUCUUUCUAUCUCUAUUUCUCUCUAUUUCUCUUUCUUUUUCCAAAGUCUUAACCCCCAUCAUCUUAGGCGAAUAAAUCGGUGAAUAAUCUUCACAGAUCCAAGAAAAAUCUCAGAACCAAGAGAAAAAUUCUCCCUUUUUGGGUAAGUGGUCAUUUCAAAUCACUUUAUUCUAAAAUUUCUUCUUUGGGUUUUGGAAAUUUUCAAUUUUUAUUAUCUUGUAACUUGUUUUUAAGCAAGAUUUGAUGGUAAAGUUUGAUUCUUUACGUUAUUAGAACAAUGGGUAUUUGCUUUUUUCUAGAUCUGUUGUCAAUUUAAUGAGAAUCGAUUGCUUCGCAGGUUUUUUUUUUCUCUCUGCAUUUAUAUUCUCUUUGAUUGUUUCUGCUAUUUGUGUUUAAUGGUUUACAGUACUCCGUAUUUGACUAGUUUCCCAUCUCUGUACAAUUUGAUUCAUACAAGUGAGUCGAUUUAAUUGCUUUGCUUUCUUGUAAUCCUGGGUUUCUGAUUUCUGUGCUGUGUUUUCUAGUCCCAAUGGGUGUCUUUUUUAUUUUUCAACCUUCUUUUGGACUGUAGACUUUUCUUUCUUUCUCUCUCAUCUCGAUUCUUUGUUUAUAAUUGAAAAAAGUUUCAAUUUUUUUUGGUACAAGAUCAUCAAUUGUGAAGUGGGUAGGUUUACAUUACAUUACCUCUCUUUUCUUGUUUCUUGUUUCUUGGGGUUAUGUUAUGUGGUCUUUCUUCAUUCGAAUUCACUGUUCUUUUCAUCUUUGAUAGCUAUAGUCUAUAGAGUUUUGAAUUUUUCAACUAACUUGUUCCUUUGGUAAUAAAGAUUCUUCUUUUCUUGUUCUUUUAUUUAUAGAAUAUGUUUGUUUGAGAUAAAAAUGGUGAAAUCUACUACCUUGAUUUCCACUUCGCAUCACUUCAAUCAAUGAAACCAGAAACAGAAAUCUCUCAAGCCAUGGAAGAUACUACCAAACUAGAAGAAGAAUCUCAAAAAACUCCACCACCACCACCAACCACCACCACUCAUAAACACCACUUCAACUCUUCUUCCACCACCACAUGUUGCAGUUGCGGUGAACCAACAACAAUCUCACCACCACCACCAUCAUGGUCUGGUGUUUCACCUCCAAAUUACCGACCAAUUCGUGCACCAGCAAUCAAUCUUCCACCAAACAAUUCACAACAAGCUAUAAUCCUUGCACCAGUUCCACAAUCACAAAAAGUUCCAAUCAUUUCACUUCCACAUCAAUUUCAAAUCCCUUCAAAGAAAAUCCAUUCACAUGAAGAUAUUCGUCAUUUCCAUGAUUCCGAUUCUUUUAAAAACUUUCUUGGUUUCGUUGUCGCUUUAAGUGAAUCAGUUCGUGGUUAUAGGAUUUCAGAUCAAUGUUAUGAAUCAGAAACCCUAGUUUUAAUCAAUUCUAUACUUGAAACCCUAAUUAAUUGGAUUGAUGAAAUUCCACCAGCUCAACAAUCUUCACGUUAUGGUAAUUAUUCUUAUAGAGUUUGGUAUGAAAGAUUAGUUGAGAAAUCUGAAUCUUUAAUGAUUGGGUUUUUACCAGAAGAAUUGCGAUCUGGGGUUAUUGAAAUUGUUCCUUAUUUUACUGAUAGUUUUGGGAACUCAAGUAGGAUUGAUUAUGGUACUGGUCAUGAAACUAAUUUUGUUGCUUGGUUGUAUUGUUUAGCGAGAAUGGGAGUUAUUAAGGAAGAAGAUUAUCAUGGUGUUGUUUGUAGGGUUUUUGUUAAGUAUCUUGCGUUAAUGAGGAAAUUGCAAACUGUUUAUUGUCUUGAACCUGCUGGUUCACAUGGUGUUUGGGGUCUUGAUGAUUAUCAUUUUCUGCCAUUUAUAUUUGGUUCAUCUCAAUUGAUUGAUCAUAAGUAUAUGAAGCCCAAAUCAAUUCAUAAUGAUGAUAUACUUGAGAAUUUUUCUGAAGAGUAUAUGUAUCUUUCAUGCAUUGCGUUUGUUAAGAAGGUGAAGAAGGGUUUGUUUGCUGAACAUUCACCAUUGCUUGAUGAUAUUAGUGGUGUGCCUAAUUGGAAAAAGGUGAAUGGUGGUUUGCUUAAGAUGUACAGGGCUGAGGUUCUCGAGAAGGUGCCUAUCAUGCAGCAUUUCCUUUUUGGUUCAUUAAUAAAAUGGUACGUUGUUCUAUCGUACAUCUCAAGUUUGUAACUUAGGCUUUUUAUUUAGUUUCUCAAAUUGAAAAUUGGUAUUUUUUUUAUGCUUCUCAAUACUUUUUGUUGACAAUAUUUGGUUUUAGUUCCCUGAUGGCUCAACAUGUAUGUUUCGGACAUAGAUUGAGAUACUGGGAUUUUAAAACAUCCACUCUCUUGAAGCAUUAGAUAUUUGGUUUAAUGUUCUAUUUUUCUUCAUGGCAUGAUGCAUCUCGUACAUGUUUGAUAUUAGAAGAUAUUGACAACUUUAGUAGUUUACCUAGCAUGUUAAAUUUUUAAUAAUGUAAUAGAAUUAUGAGUUUGCUUACUAGUUAAAGAGAACGCAUAGGUGAUUUUCUUAUUGCAAAAUGAAGGUAGGUUCCCUUGUGUAGCGGACUAUAUUGUUAUAGUACCUAGAUUAUAUAGGACAGACAUCAGAUGUGUUUACAUAUGACAUGACAAUAUGAAAAGUUGUCCAACAAGUGAGCUUGUUAGCAUUUUCUAAGUCUUAGAAGGAACAUGCCAUUGAGGAACAUCAUAACAUCCUUUAGAUAUUAGAUAUGAUGACUUAGUCAAAUGGUACCUCUUGGCCAUUUUGAAACAAUGGAGAAGCUAGGAGCAUAAUGUUCUAUUUUCACUGAAUUAGAUGCACCAAAAUAAAAAAAUUAAAGGCUGGAAUUCAACACACCCGUCAAAUACAUCUUAAAAAGUCGGAUUUAGAGAUCAUACCCUUAAAUAUAAGAGUAUCGAUUCUGAUAUCAAUUUAAACAGAGAUUUUUGCUUUUGAUAAUAUAUUGAUGGGAAUACACUCAUUAGCAAUAUAUAGGUGGGCGUAGUAAAUCAAAUCUAGUUGUGUUGCUUCAGGUUGUAAUUGUAGGUCCUUAGAGUGAAUGAUGUUAAGGUUAAUCUUAUUUUUCACUGCCUAGCAUUUGUCCCUAGUCGUUGUAUUGAAAACGAUUUAUUAUUGGUGGCUAAUUUGUUAAAGAACAUAUGAUCUUUGCCAUCUUCACAGGGAAUAGGAGGAAGUUGGUCUACCAAUCAUUUGAGGAAUCUUGAAAGGAAGAAAGGUUUUUAAAAGAUGUAUCAACUUUGUGUAAUUUGCUAUGCAUGGAUGCAAGAAGUAUAUUCAGUGGUGAUGUAAAUUCCUGCACGCCGUUUCUUGAUUCGUGAGAUUAUGAUUGGAAGUACAUCAGUUUUGGUAUGGAUAGUUGUCAUCCUCUUGACUGCAGGAAUGUAUAUGGUGCACUUCUUGAUAUUUUGAUUUUAUCGCUUGUCUUGAUAACAGACUCUUAUCUUUUAUAACCGUGGUCUGAACCCACUUGAGUCAUAUUUUCGAUCUGCAUUAUAGGUGAAAUUUUGCAGCCCAAACCUAUGAAAAGUAGCUUAGUCAUUGGAUUUGGGUUGUUUAUACUUCUCUAUAACAGGGACAUGAUACAUGCAGCACCCCAUAUUUCUUAGAUAUUAGGGAACACUGCCUGGAUAGGGUAGCCAUCCCCUAUAUUCCGGAAUUAGAUAAUCAUGCAUAACAGGCCAUAUGGCUUGUGGCAACUCAUCACACUAUCCGAGUCCUACAAGAGUGAACAUUAGAACUUGCUGUAGUGUCUAGUUUGACUAUAAGAAUGUGAUUCAUUUAGCUUCCGGUCCUGUGAUGUUCUGACGAAUCAAAUUGUAUAUUACAAGAGUGAACAUUAGAACUUGCUGUAGUGUUUAGUUUGACUAUAAGAAUGUGAUUCAUUUAGUUCACCCUUUGCUAAAACAGUGGUGAGAGUACAACGCGCUAAUAUUAUCCUGUGCCUCUAAUCUUCAGUUUGGUUCAUUUAGGUACAACAAUACAACACAAUACACUCAUCAAAUGUUUGUCAUGGCCCAUGAGUUAAUGACUUUCUACUAGUUUAAGUAAGGUGUUCUACCAACCUUAACCUCAACUAAAAAGGAUGCAAAAGUAGAGAUUAGGUACAGUUUUGGUGGUUGAAUGACUGAAUCAUUACCUGUAAAUCAUCCCUUAAUCAAGUUCAAAUUUACCCUGGAAAUAAACAAAUAUACAGGAGUAACUUGCACAACACACAGCAAUGCAACUGACAGUCACUGGUAAAAUACAAACACAGUUCCCCAGUCUCACAUCCGGUCAUUCUUCUGAAGGGCUGAAGGCACCAUGCUUUCCUCUGAUAACUUCUUGAUAAAUUCUAGAUAAGAUGAGAUUGGCCCAGAAACAAAAUUAGAAAGUAUGGUUCCACCACAUUUUAAUCUAACAUCACCAGAAAUAGUUAAGCCACUGAUGAUCUACCAAUACCUACAAAUUAUCUCCUUUUUUCCAUUUGGGCUCAAUUUAAUCUUUUCUUAAGUACAAAAAAUCACUUUUGUUUCUUGCAGAAAAAACUGAGAAUUGUUCAGUUUAUCAUUUUCUGACCAACUGCAUUAAAUUCUCAACUUUCUCAAGUUAGUGAAUUUUAGAUCAAAAUGCAGAUUUUCAAUCAGAAUUCAACUUUUUCUGAGUUCUGACCACUUGACCAGUAGUAGACUAAGUCAAAUAUUCAAUUGACUGGUAUAAAAAUAGAUGAUAAACAUUUAGUGAUAAAUCCAAAAAUUAUUAUCUCAAUGAGUAAUCAAACUGCUAUUGAGAUUUGAGAAUGACUUGUGUGGUUGAGUUUGCAUAUGAGUUUGAGUUUUUGCUUAUACACAAGGGAAUCCUUCAAUCCCAUCUCUCUUUGUUUUUGUAUGUAAAGAAGGAAUAGAUAUAUGCUAAUACGUAUGGACAGUAUUGGCAUUCACCAUAAACAGAAAUAUAUCAUUAUAUCAAGAGAAGAGAAGAGAAGAGAAUCUCUACUUCUGAUUUGUGCCCAGAAUGACCACGUUGUCUGCACGCAACAUUUCAAUUAACAACUGACAUUCAACAUACUCUUUGAUACGCUCGUAUCUCCAAAUUUAUAUCACAUUUCAAUUCAAUUCCAUCUCUUUGGUGCAUAAAUUGUCCAUUACAUUGAGCAAAAACCACACUCAAUUCAUCAUAGUACCAUACCAAGCUCUAUGAACUGAAUUGGAUUUUAUUUGUAGAUGUUAAAACUCUAUAUGCUUGCUUAGCUUGAAAUGGUAUGCUUAGUCACUUGCUUGUACAUGAUUAAAUUGCUUAAAGUUGUCGAGCAAAAGUAAUUGCAAUGAGUCACUACUUAGAAUGAGUGCGCAACAUUUCACAUUUCUCUCAGUGUCACCUCACCUCACCUCAUUCUAAUUAGAUUAGAUGGCAUUGGCAAAUACAUUUUUGUUUCGACACCACUAUUUAUAGUCUUAAACAAUAUUUGGGAUUUAAGCUUUGGGUAAUGUUUGCGCAAAAGCUUUAAUGCAUAAUAAUUUAUCAAAAUAUGGAUGCCAAGAAGGUGGUUUGAAGGCAUGCUUGUGUAAGUGAUAGGGGUGGGCAUGGUUCGGUUCGGUUCAUAUUUUCUGUCAAAUUGGAACUGGACUGUGCAUACAAUUUCGGUUCGGUUCGGUUUCACGAACUGGGAAAAAUAAAUUGAAACUGAACUGGACUGGACGGAAGCAACUCGGUUCGGUUCGGUUCGAUUUUCGGUUUGUGCUUUAAUUUGGGCCUUUGUUUUGGGCCUAAACAAUCUAACAGAUAAAACAAACAAAUCCAACAAAUUCAAUAAACACUAAUAACCAAAUUGAUUUAUCUAUUGGAGAUUCAACUCAAACAAAUAGUCCAACAUUAAACAUUUAAUACAAACAGUUCCAACAACUCAAAUUGAUUUGAAAUUCGAUACUCUAGUCUUCUUCUUCAACUCCAAGCAUUACUACAGUAACAAAGAGAAUAAUCCAUCAAUGACAAUCCUUCUAGCACAUUAGUGGCAGAUAAUAAGAAUAAAAAUGGAGUCAAAUUGAAGAACACCAUAUGAUAUUUUAUACAAUUAGAAUAAGUAAACAUUGAAAAUCGAAAUUAUCAAUGAAUGAUAGAUUGCAAAUGAAAACUAUUCUACUCACAUUGAAAUUAAAGUGAGGGAUUGAAAUUUGAAAUUAAUGCAAACAGAUCAGAAAUUAAAAGUAAUGAAUCAAUCAAUCAAUUUGAGAUUGAAAUUAACAGAUGAAGAAAAAAGAAGAAGAAGAAGAUUACCUUAAGUAGAAGAAGAUGAAGGUGGCAGUACCGGCUCACCAAAGUAAUGGUAGUAGUGGUGGAGAUGGUUUGGGUAGUGGUGGCGGAUUGUGACUCUUUGGUGAGACUGUGAGAGAAAGCAGGAAGGGAGAAAGAAACCUAGUAUAACUAAAAAUUUCUAUGUAUACUACUAAGAGAUUUCCUAAAAUUAACUAAAAAUAAUAAAUACAAAAAAUAUAAUAUAUAUUCUCGGUUCGGUUCGGUUCCAACCGAACAUAAUAAGUAGAAACUGAAACUGGACUGGUUAUAUACAGUUCGUUUCGGUUCCAGUUCGGUUCCAUCCAGUUCUUGGUCAACCCAGUUUUGACCAAUUUUUAGAGAAGAAUAUAAAUUCCAGUUUUUAGUUGACACCUUUCUUGUUAAUUGACCAUAACUUUCUGUAGAAUCUCGGAGUAACAUGAAACAUCCAUAAUUAGAAUUCUUAAUUUCAUGUCAACCCUAGGUCUCAACAGAAGUUAUUGUCGAUUUCCUAGAAGGGUGUCAACCGAAAACGGGAAUUCAUCUUCUUCUCUACAAUAUUAAAAUCAAUCUUCUCAUAAAACAUCUAAUGAUUUUAUUUAUACUAACUAAGGUCUAUGUGGACCUAAGCUUGAAUUUAAGAGCAAGUCCAAAUGCCUAAUGCUAAGGUCGCAUACAAAUCUAAAUUAUCUACUUGAUGGAAUCCUAAUUAGAAUUCAAUUUCUCUAAAUCAGGAAAUCUACACAUGGCAUUAUAAUACAACUCAUUUCCAUGGAUCGCAAAUAAUUCACAAUCUGUGACCCCCUUAUCCAAGUUGUUUUGGGAUGCUGUGUUAGACACUGGCACACAUACACAUCUCAAUGUUACCUAGGUUAUAACUGACAGUGAAAACUAUGCCAGUACUGCAGUUGAUGAGCUCAGUUUAUGUUCUUUUUCUUUUGUUUCUUUUUUUUAUCGUGCCCCCUUUUUUGCGAUUGAAUUUUGGUCAUCACAUGAACUUUAAUUUUUCAUUCAGGCCGAUCAGAUGACAGAAGAAAGCUUACUUUCCGGUAAAGGGGUAAUGUUUCAUCGUAUUCUGGAAGCGGUUCCUUACCAAGGGAGUGGUGAUAAAAUUAAACUGCCUUCAACCUGCUUCACUGAACUGUCCGAUCAAGGUGCUCUAGAUAAAGGACCAAUGUAUUUCAGGCUUUCAAAAGUUGAAAAAGAGGUUCCUCUACACUCAGAAGCUUCCGGACAAGAAAAUAGUGGAGAAACCCAUUCUGGUGUUCUGGAAUUUACUGCACCUGAAGGUUUCGUUGAACUUCCGCCUCAUGUAUGGAGAAACUUAUUUCCUGCCAUCCCUCCAAGUGCUCCCUUGAUUGAGGUUUGUUAUGUUAGAUUGCCAAAGGGUGUGUAUGCCAAAUUACAACCUGCUGAAAGGGGCUUCUCUGACAUACCUAACCACAAGGCUGUUCUGGAAACAUGCCUUCGCCAGCAUGCCACUCUUUCUCAAGGUGAGGUUGUCACUGUCAACCAUGGGGAGCUGACUUUCAAGUUGCAGGUUUUGGAGCUUAAGCCUUCUUCUAGUGUAUCUGUCCUAGAGACAGAUAUUGAGGUGGACAUAGUGGGGUCAGAUUCUACUUCGGAGAGGACUGAUCAACAUGUUUUGCUCCCACUUGAGCUAGGAAAGACAGAAUCUGGAUAUGUCGAAGAAGGGAAGUAUGCUUACUACAAGUUUUCAGUUGACAAAGACAUUAGUGAUAUAGUUGCUUGUGAGGAUGCUAGAAUAAUGGUUAAGCUAGAAACUGACAGUGAUGGUGGGGAUACUGAUCUUUAUGUUUCCAAGCAUCCCAUCAUGUUCCCAAACCAGCAUCAGCAUGAAUGGUCUUCCCAAGAUAUGGGCUCAAAGGUUUUGAUUCUUGGUUCCAAGGAUUCGAGCAUACCUGCUGGUGUGUAUAGUAUAGGAGUGUUUGGCUUUAAGGGAACAUCUAAUUUCAAAAUUUCAGUGGCUAUUCAAGAUAAUAACAACAGUAUGGGUGAGCGAGCUGCCUCUUCAUCGUCUACAGUUGAUGCGAACUCUGUAGAGUGUCGCAACUGCCACCAUUAUAUACCCAGUAGGACCAUUGCUCUGCAUGAAGCCUAUUGUGCUAGGCACAAUGUUCAAUGUCAGCAUAAUGGCUGUGGUGUUGUUCUUAGAAGGGAGGAAGCCGUUAACCACAUUCACUGUGAGAAAUGUGGAAAAGCCCUUCAACAGCGAGAAAUAGCGAAGCACAUAAAAGUCUUCCAUGAACCACUUCAUUGCUCAUGUGGAGUAAUCCUUGAGAAGGAAGCAAUGGUAAGUAAUUGAACUCACUUUCAUCUAUAUAGCCUACUUGGCCUUUUUUUUAUGGGUGUAUAUUUAUACCAUAACCUUUUGCUUUUCCUAUACAUCAGUUCAUCAAUUGUUGUUUGCUUGAUAAGCUGUCUCUUGGAGAGGCCAUUAUGAAUACAUUACACCAAUAUACUGUGGUGAUAUCAAAUUUCUUGGUUUUUUAUGAUAGAUAAAGGGUGAUUCUGAUGAAACUGAUGACAAUCCAAAACCUUACCUGUCUGCUUUGCGGUUUUUCUGGGUUGACCUUUUCUUUACUUAGUACUGAAUGCAUACAAUCAAGCACCACUGCCUUAAAUAUUUUUUUUUUCUGGUUGAACCUCCUUUUUCUCUUUUUACAAGCUUUGGAGGGUAUUAAUGGAAUAAUAUAUUCAUAUGCUAGCAGUAACAGUGGGGUAUCAUACCAUUUUGUGAAAGAACAGGGGAUAAACACCCCAUAACAUGGGUUUAUCUGAAGGGAUUUUGAGAUCUUGAUGGAAAACGACCUGGUUGUUAGGCAAUCGGCAUUGCAUGCCAUUGUCUUGAAACUUAUAGUUGUACGAAAAGCUUUUCAUUGUCUUUUGUGAGGCUCUAACUGAAAAUACACUCUAAUUUUCUUUUGUUUCCACUGUCCCAGGUUUUGCACCAGUCCUCUGUCUGUCCCUUGCGACUGGUAACUUGCAGGUUCUGUGGGGACAUGGUCCAAGCUGGGAAUUCUGCAAAUGAUGCAUGGGAUCGUCUUAGGGGAUUGUCAGAACAUGAAAGUGUUUGUGGGUCUAGAACAGCCCCUUGUGAUUCAUGUGGUCGCUCUGUCAUGUUGAAGGAAAUGGACAUUCAUCAAGUUGCUGUUCAUCAAAAGAGCUAGGUUCCCCUUCGAUGUGUUUCGGUACAAAGUGGCUGUGUUAGAUUUCAAAUGGGGCUAGUGUUCAUGCAUUCUCGGCCUUAAAUCUUCCUUUCAAUGUCUAUAAAAUCUGGAAGUUGGUCUUUACACUUGCAAGCAUUUGUAAUGGUUACCUGUGUAUCUUGUUUGGUGUACUGAAAGGAAUUCCAAAUGUUUAUUUCAUUCUUGAUAAAUUAUGUACUCCGUAUUGAGGACAAUAUAUCAAUUUAUUAUGGUGUUGAGGGAAAGCAGUAGUCAAGAAACUGUAUGUAUAUGAUAAUAUGAAGUUUACUUUUGUGUCCCCUAUCUCAAAUCAUGAGUUUUCCACUCGGCCUACAAAACUCAGGAAACAAAAUUGAGUUAGGAAGGUGGUAACAUGUCUACCCCUUUCCUGUUGGUCAUAAAGACCAUUACGAUCCAAUAUCUUACAUUACAUUUCAAGAAAUAGUAUAUUGUUCCUGGGACAUCCUCAUCUCUAGCCAUGGAUUGGAUUGAUGGAUAUCUGCAGCCAAAUUAGCCUCCCUCCAAAUAGAAGAAAUCAUCAGAAAGGAAAAGCUUGAUUUCACACUCAACCAUCUAUACUUCAGCCUCUAAGGUCUGUUCCUGAACGAGAGUCCAUGGCUGACUUUGAAUCAGUUUCUAUCCAUAAAUGAGACCAACCUCUUUCAGAUGCCACCUCUGCAGCUGUAAUUAUUGCCAUACACUCAGCCUCAUAAGAGCCAACAUCUCCUAAAUUCUGCCAGACCACCAACUUAAAAUUGCACUGAUGAUCCCUGAAAGUAAUUACCAGUCCAGCACUCUGAGUAGAUGCUGCACCAUCUGUGUUGGCUUUCAUUAUACAAUUACUAUAGCUAUUUGCCAUGGAUAAUCUUUCAGAAAGCUUAACUUAGUGCAAGCUUAGUGUUGGUAGUGCCCUUAGUGCAAACUUAGUGUUGGUAGUGCCCUUUCCCAUCACAAUUGCAAUAGGAAAUGUAUGUCAAGAACUCUAACUUUGGUCGUUAAUAUACUCAAUAAUCAAAUGCUCAUGAAGUAUCAAUCCUUAUGCUUACUUGUAUGAGAAAAUUAAAUGGUUUGGAAAAGCAUUUUCACAAUGAUACUCUUUUCAAAAUAUAAUUAUUUGUAAAGGUACUUCUCUUCCCACACAGGUAUAGGGUUGAUAAAGUACAAAAACAAUCACAGAAAGUACCCGAAGGCACAAUCCUUUUUAGUUAAAACUAGUUGCAUCUAUAGUUGGAUAAUAUUCUUUCACAGAUUAGUUUAAAUUACAAUCAACCAUAUAUAUUCUGAAUACUCGUCAAAAUUCGAAUAAUACAGAUUUCUAAAUUCAAAAAUACUCUCUGAGGACAUCAAUUGUGUCUAAAUAUAACGCACAUCUGCCGUGAAAUCCAACAACUUUGGCUUGGACGUCUCCAGCACUGAAAAACAUUCCUCCUUCCUCGCCAAAAGGUCCAUAUCGACCUUUUGUUGUGUAAAAGGAAAUGGAUCUUAUCACUUCAUGGCCUUCAUAAGCUCCAUAAAACCCAGUAACUGAAAUCAAAUGCUCUUUAGGAUAAUCCAGUUUGAUCUGCCAUUAAGAAACAAAGUCUAUUAGAUUAGAUUAGAAAAAAAUAUAUUAAACAUGGCAGUACAUAAAAAUUGUUCAGAAGGGUAGCCACGAAAAACAGUUUUCAGUAAGUGGUCUCUCAUAGUAUUUCACUUGAAAUAGAUAUAACGUAAGUGCUCACUGUAGAACAGAUUAUAGUGUCUUAACCUGUUGGUGAUUUCAGGCUGAUCAGGCUUGUAAUUUUUCUGCACAUCUAAUAAAAUCUUACUUUAUCAAGAAAAAAAAAAAAAAGUAAGGAAACUUCAGAAGGAUAAGUUCGUAAACAUCGUGCUCAGUAAAAUUCUCUGUGUUUCUCUUUAAACAAGUACUAAUACAUUUAUGCUCAAAUCCAUUGAGUAAAACAAGUGAAAAAAGAUUUGACAUACUGAAUAGCCGAUGGUAUUGUCUUACCCUGUUAGUGAUUUCACCGCCGAGACCUCCAUGCCUGUGUGACCAAACAGAUUGGCCAUUUCGAUCAUACUCUAUCAAAAUAGAGUUUACCACAGCCUUUCCUUUCCGAACAAAUAUUUGCUUUAUCCCAGUGAAAAUGCCAUCAUCAAACGGUUUGCCUCCAGGGCCACCCCAUGGCCCUACUGUAGGUUCUUGCUUAACCUCUUUUAUCACAGCAUUAGGCAAAUUCCAGAACUCCCAUGAUUAUAUAUACUUAUUGAGAAUAAAAGCACACACGCAGACACACAGACAGUUUCACCCUACGAAUCUUAAAUCUUAAUCACAUUCUCUUAUGGUUUUUGGAUAUUAUAGAUGGCUUUACCACAUGGAUGGUCAAAAAUGAGAAAAGCAGAUGGUACACUAAAUAUGCAAAUUCUACAGGUACCUUCCUGAGAGAAGAUUAUUGGGUACAUGCGCACUUCUAUCAAUAAGAUUUAACACAAAACAUCUCCAUCCAUGCUAUAUAUUGUAGGUAGAUAUCUUUUGAAUGUGACUAAGGACAGUGGUAUGCUUAACAAACAUAUCCAGAGGAGUGACAACAAUUGUGUUGUUUAAUAAACAAUUUGAACUUUGCCGCAAAUACAAGAGGUGUACAUCUUCAAUCGUUUAUUAGCUAAGGAUAGCAUUAUUGUUUUGUUUGCUUUUCUUGGACUGUCACAUUUUCUUGAUAUUGAAAUGCUAUUACAUAGUAAAAGGACAUUACAGACAGGAUGGGUGACAGAAUUUUUCACCCAUACUCAACUACAUUAAUACAGAGGGAACAAUAGAAUCAUGAAAUCAAGCAGCUUGUCUGCCAAAUAUCUAAUAGCAAGUGCACGCCAAUUCUCACCAUUUGCCUGGUUUAACCACCUUGAGAUGUCUAGCAAAAUGUAUAUAUUUGUAUCAAGCUUUAUUCUACAUAUCAUUUCUUGUUUCCAGCUUGAUGUUCUUUUAAUUAUCAACAUUCUUUGUUUUUAAUUUUACAUGUUACCCUGUGAAUUAAUGUUAUCAUAGUAUUUAUGAUAAAUCAUUCUUACAGAAUCAAUUAUACUUAUUUAAUAAAUGUAUCUUGUAUCUUGCGAUGCAGAGUGUUUGAACCAAAAAAAAAAUAAAAAAUAAACAAGAUGUACGAAACUACAAAUGUCUGGAGUUAACAAAUACGUGAUUUACCUCUUUGACACUUGCAUCUUCAACACUGUUUAAACAUCGAAAUACUGUAAUGGUUGGCUUCACGUACAUACCAAUGGCUUCUAAAAAUUGACCACAUUUUCCAUGGAAACCAACAAUUGUACCGCCCUUCAUUGGCAAGGAGAAAUAAGUUCCAUCUGCAGGACCAAUCGGUCCAUAUUUUGUCACAUUUGACACAAAUUCCAGUGAUCUAAUGACAAGCGGGCCUUCUGGCAUGAAAUAUCCGUAGUGUCCACUUAUUGAUGUCAGAUACUCUUGAGGCGCAUCUAGAUCAAUCUGCAAAAAAAUAAGAGAGAAAUCUAGCAUCAAAGCAAAUAUUAUUUGAUUAUUAAAAAAAAAGCAAAUAUUAUUUAUAAUUGUAUAUUUUAGUUACAAUACAUAACAAAGCCUUUCCCCAUCACAGUCAUGUGUUAGGAAGAAUUAACAUACUACAAAAUGUCAAGGCAUGGGUCUAGAAACUGGUAACAAUUAGGGUACAUGAUUUAUCAUCAAGAUUACUUGUUGUUUCAAUCAUUUCCAUUGACGUGAAGAGUAAAAGGAGGGUUUUCAUUUGUUGGUAUUGCUAUUGCAUGUCUAGGGACUAGACCAACAUAAACCCUAACUUAAUACUGUAGUAAUUAAUUGGCUAUUGCAGAUGACCUAUGCUGUCAAGAACCUGAAAGUACAUUACCUUGGUGGUUCUGAAACCCCCAUUUCCACCAAACUUCUUGGAAUAACAUCCAGUUCCUUGUUUACCACGAUUAUUAUGUUCAGCUUUGAAAAGAAUUGAAUCGAUCGCCCCACCAUGAACAAUCACUAUCUUUUUAAUGAUUUUGCUAUCAUCUUCAUUGAAACUCCAUUUGGUCUCUCCAUGUUUUGAUCCCCAUGGCCCUACACAUAUUAGCUUAGGCUCCAUCUCCUGAAAAAAAAAAAUGAGACAACUAACUAUAAAGAAAUCAAAGCCAGGUAUACUUGCUUUCAAGAAAACACUAACAUAUACUAUUGCUUACCAUUUUAUUUCUAGAGAAGGUUACUAUAGUUAUGUAGCGACCCGACCUAUAUCACCACCGAUAUUGUCCUCACUUUGCCACUGCGGAGGUUACUAUAGUUAUGUAGCGACCCGACCUAUAUCACCACCGAUAUUGUCCUCACUUUGCCACUGCGGACAUCCGACAGUGUGGGGUUUUACAGGCAGCAGUCUGCUUCCCAGGAGAUCCUGAGAUUACUCCCACCCGAGCACGCUUAACUCCGGAGUUCUUUCGAAUUCCGGAGCCAAGUGAGCCCAAAAGGCCUCGGUGAUAUUAUAUGACGGAUCUAUACCUAUAUUCCAAUGUCAGGACAUCCCCUCUAAGUUUCAUAGGACCCACCCCCUCGGCAAACCACCUGCCGACCUAGGGUGUUACAAUCCCACCACCUUAGAGGAGAGCUGUCUUCGGCUCUGGAAUAUACAGCCCCAGAUCUCCGACGUUCCCUACCCCUCGCGAGACGAGUACCCGGCGCAACCGUCACCUCUUCCUGGGCUAGGCGCCUUUCCAGCAUACUCUCCCACCCUCGACAGGAGAACCGUCGUCGGCUCUGAUACCAUUUGUAGCGACCCGACCUAUAUCACCACCGAUAUUGUCCCCACUUUGCCACUGCGGACAUCCGACAGUGUGGGGUUUUAUGGGCAGUGAUCUGCUUCCCAGGAGGUCACCCCAUCCUGAGAUUACUCCCACCCGAGCACGCUUAACUCCGGAGUUCUUUCGAAUUCCGGAGCCAAGUGAGCCCAAAAGGCCUCGGUGAUAUUAUAUGACGGAUCUAUACCUAUAUUCCAAUGUCAGGACAUCCCCCUCUAAGUUUCAUAGGAUCCACCCCUCGGCAAACCACCUGCCGACCUGGGGUGUUACACAAGGAUAGUGGAUAGGAAUGAGGUUUGCAACAAUAUGUCAUUAAGCUUGCUGGGAUGCAAUGGGCAAAGACCAUUCUUUGCGAAAUGGCAACUCAUUUGUUUAUAGGUCACCACUUCUAGAAUAUACAGAACAUUGUGGUAAUGUUCAAACAAAGAAGACAGCUAAAUGUAUGCAACAACUUAAUCUGUUGGUCUCCUGUACGUAUACCAGCAACUAAUACUUUACUAAACGCUAAUGCCAUUGACUGAUGAUCGAGUAGUAUUCCUGAGCUGAGAAUUGCCUAGAUAAUUAUAUAGCGAAAAAUCCCAAUAUAGUUGUUGUGUACUUGUGUCCAUAUCCAUUUGAUUACAGAUUAAAAAGUUGCGACAAUUCCUAUAUAGAGAUUAGAGCAAUGGUUAUAGAAUAUGCAGUCCAAAAUAUGAAUUUGCACCAAAUGAAGCUACCUAGCCCAAAGAAAAGGCUUUGUUAUUUACUUAUUGUACGUAUAGUGAAGUAGUUCUGCAAAAAUGGGAUUAAACUUAGAACAGCAUACUAAUUGUUCCCUUGAGAAAAUAAGCUGACGUUUGAAAUGUUGUUAUGUUGCAAGAGCCAUAUUACUAUAAGAAAUUAAGAACAGAACGAUUAUAUUUUUAUAAGCUUUAUAGGUGAUCGAGAUACACUGAACCUUGUUGUAGAGCAGUAAAACUGACGUAAAUGUCUUAAUUAAGCACAGAACUCAAAGGCAAGCGUAGAUCAUGGUGACUUGGUGAUCAGCAUGGCCAUGGAGGGUAUCACUAUCUGUACAGAAACACUUUGAAAUUCAUUGAAUGGUGACCUCAUUACUCGUUACAGACCGUGAGACAUGCUGUCAUCUUUGUUUGAUCGAGAACAUAUUGAAAUCUACUGCUGCCACACUGCGGCACUGAUUAAUUAAGUUUGUCUCAACACGAAUACACUCCUAAGCAGUAAUAUUGGUGAUGUUUAUUUAUUGUAAAAUAAACGAGUAUAGCAGCUAGAAACAUUUUCACCAAGGCUCAACAUAAACAGGGUCAGGGUGUGACUUCUUUUUAUGUCUUGCAGCCUUCAGAUUUUAAAGCAGUGUGAAUCUUAGGGUUAUAGGGUAUAAGAGUGUUUAACAAGGACGAAUGUACGUGUCGCUGAGCUUGAUUUGCAAGAAAACACAUCAGAAUUGAAGGUUUUGUUACAAAAUCUAUGAGUAGAUUUGACAAAAGUUUAACAUAUAAACUAGUGAUCCUUGAUCACGCAUGACCCUGUUUUAUUAAUAAGGAGAGAUGGGUGGAAUGGGAACAAGAUGCGAAUUACAGCAAUAUGCUUUUUGUUAUAGAUAAUCAAACCACUAAUAUCCUCAGCUAUAUAUUAACCCUGGCCUUUUAACAAACAUGACCCUAUCCUGUCAAGUACUUUAUUUUAGUUUAUAAAUGUCAUUAUCACUAAAUUAUUACCAAUAAUUAGUUGGGCACUUAAUCUACUUCUAGGUGUGAUCUUUGUAUUUGAUACAUCUUGUCUCAUAUAUUCAAAAAUAAAAAUAAAAACCCUUAAUCCUUGUCUGUAUUUCAAAUAUGAAAAUUUCAUCAAACUCAUAAUUCAAAGGGACAAUAUUUCAUGAACGGAAUACUGUAUAACCAUAAAUAUCAUUGUUCAAAAAAUAAUUGAACAAGCCAGACAUGAAAUAACAACUAUCUUCCCCAAUAAACACGCUGGUCGAUCUUUCGAAUUUCACAGCUGCGUGCACAAUGUGAUCAUUAAAUUAGUUUCUACUGUAUAGGUGCCAAUGAAAUUGGUGUAUAGCUAGUGAAGCUUCCAUAUAGAUUUAGGUGAAAUCUACGAGUUGAUCUCGAAGCAAAUCUAAUAGUACUAGCUGAUUAUAAUGAUCGACUUGAUGAGAAGAAGAUGCAGAGGUUGGUUCCUCCAGUGGACUUUUUUUCUCAAUGAACAACAUCCUACAGGCUAUAUCACCUCUGUGUUUGACAAAAUUACCUUAAUUAAUUGUGUUGUUCCAAGGUAGUGCCGUAGUGCUAGUUGAAACUUUUCUUAGAAAACAUGUAAUACUAGUUAACAACUGAUCUACUGUAUGACUUAAGGUCUACUUGGCCCAAAUAUAACCAAUACCAUUAAACAAAACUUCCAGGUCAUUAGAUGGAGACAAUGAAAAAGCUGGAAUUUGGCUUUUAUAUUUGAAAACGACAACAUUACUAAACAAAUCCAAAAUUAAUAAAGACAAAUCUGCUUUACUUAAUGAUUAAAAAUUAAUGGUCUACUUCUCCAUGCAAACAAAUUUUUAGGCCCACAAUAUAGUCCAUAGUGAUCAUUUACACACCAUCUCACCCAUUUCUUUCCAACUAUGAACAUUGCCAUCAUAGCCAUUAGCCACAAGAUGAUUUUAAUCAAAUGCCUGUAAUUAGCUCAUUGGAUACUCGUUGUGGUCACGUAUUUGACGCGUGCAAUAGUGAUGGAUAUCACUCGCACAGCUGGAUGUCUGAGCUGGACAUUUCAGGCUCUUUUCACGAGUAAUCUGUGCUAUUCUGUUGGACUGUGAUAGGCUGCUCAUCACUGCUGUCCAUUUAAAGUCAGACGACUCGUCUCUGCCAGUUGUUUUAUCCACACUUCCCCGUACUCCUCAAACCUUCCAGCCUGGAUUCUUUCUAACGUCUCUUUUCUUUUCACAAAAUUUCCAUCCUACCCCUAUCCUAUACAAUGGAAUAGAAGAUUAUCAAUAAGGGUAAUUUUGUCAAUAAAGUUGCACUACUGUGACUAAACUGUAGUUGUUUUUAACUUUUUGUUUUUUAGUUAAAAAAAGAAAGAAAAGCAAAAGAAGAAGAAAAAAAAAGUGGUUUAAACUUUAAACCACUAGGCAAUAGCUGUUAACCGUAGUGAAAAAGAAAAAAAUCAUUUAAAAAAGACGCGUUGGAGUACCGUUGGAUCUCACUUUUUUUCACAUUCGUUUCACCACAUCUUUAAUUCACUCCACCACUCCUAUAUAAAUCACUCUUUUCUUUCCAUUCUCAACACACAACCAAGCUAGCUAACAAACAAUUCCAUCUUUUCUAACUCUAACUCACAAUUUCCGUGUUAGUGUUUCUAUCACUAAUUUUCCAUUAUGCAUCUUUAGAAUACCUGGUUCAAAGGAUUCAUAGAAUCAUAGCCUUCUCUGAGAGACAUUCGAAAUCAAAUCGAGUAAAUAUCUGCCUUCUGAAGAAGGGUCCACUUUCUCUGCCUUGACAACAGUGAUCUUCACCUUCUGCUCAUCACCAUACAUUUCUUCCUUAAUUUUAAGCUUGAGUAGGUAUUGGUUAAAAAGACUCUGACGAAUGACUUCUUCGAACCUGCCAUCAUCUUGCUCAUCAUUUUUCAAAGAAUACAACUGUUUCGCGGAGCAUCCCAUGAUCUCUUCCCCUGUUUCCUGGAAAGCCGUCACCCAAGUCAGUCCUGUAUGGUCUUGCACUUGAGCUUGAAUAAGAUAUCUGUAGUCACACUCCUCAAACUCUUGAUUGCACCUCUCACACUGCCAUCUUGUGUCUCCCGACUUUAUCACUUUCUUGGAGCAUUGUCUAUCCCCAAUCAUCAAUGGACAAGCAGUGUAGCAAAAAGUGUCUGUUUUAAUGAACGAAACAUAUGCCUUCACUGUGACCCAAUCAGGCUUAUCAGCUCUUCCAAGACCUUCUUCUUUAAUCUGAGACACUGUUUUACGAAUUUCAUUUCUUUGCCCCCCAGGCAUAAUGUCUCUAGAGAUGGAUUGGGAAGCAGUGUCCUUUCCCCCACUGUCAAACCACUGUCUCAAGCUAUAAGCCUCUGGAAAUUCCGGAUUGAUGAAUAGCUGGCUUGCAGAUAUUGUUCCUACUGAUUUUCCACUGAAGUCAUUCACCUUUCCUGCCUUAACAGCCAAAACUGGGGAAAAGCCAGAAUCAACCAUAUCCUGUAACUCCCGACCUUCUUUGUUACAGAGCUCCCCCCAAAGAGUUAACUCCACACUGCGGCCUGAUUGAUCCUUUAGGUUCAGAACUCUUCUCUGAGUCUCCAUACCAUUCUUUCUUAAAAUAGGUACUGAUGGAUUUACAGAAGUUACAACUCCAAUAAUAUCAAGUACAGAAUUAUUUUCUGUAUUCUCAAUCUCAAUGAUGCGACUAAAGGAGAACUGCUGCUUUGGUAUUGAACUGUCUUCAUCAGGACAAAUCUCCACAGUGGAGGUCGUUUCUAAGAAUAUCUCCCACUCAUUCUUAAGAUGGUUAAAGUUUUUCUGAGCUGGUUUCAAGCUCCCCUUCGAUAUCAAAUACACUUUGCCAACUUCAAUAGAAUCAUAAAAACGAUCAACUACAGCAUUAAAGCAAGUCACGCGUAUCUCACCUCCAUCAGAAUCAAGAAGAUCAAAUGAGAAAACUUUACCAUCUCCCCUGGCAUUGUUAUAACGUCGAAGAUCACCUUUUGCAGUCACUCUAGCUUUAAUAGCCCAACGUCCCUGAUAAGGAUUCAAAGCAGCAAUAGGAAUUAUCCUGGCGGGGGCUUCAUUCUUAACAAUAGCCCCAUGAUUCUUAUAAUUCGGCGCAGGAGGUUGGUAUGGUGGCUGCACAGUCGGUCGAGGUUGGUAUGACUGUUGAACAACAUUCGACCGUACAUUUUGCACUCUACUGCCAGCAUUCAUUGGAACUGAAGAACCAAUGACAGUCCUUGGUGGACCCAUAGAAUCACCAUUUAAAAGAGGUUUUGGAGCUGAAUCAAACUCCAUUAAUGGUCUCGGGUUUCCAAUUAUCUCACAAUCAGGUAUAAUAGUCUCUAAAUUCAACACAACAAUAAUCCUGCACAAUAAAACCAAACAAAACAUAGCUAAAACAAUACAAACUACUUCUCAAAAAAAUCCAAAAAUGUUUCAAUUUCACCAACAAGUAUGUAGUUAUAGUAAGGAAAUUUUAUUUAUAAUACUUACUUGCGAUUCUGAACAGUACUACAGAUAUAAUCAAUGAGUUGAAUCACAGAUCCUUUAUUGACAGAACCACUCUUCACUCGAUCAUUUAACUGAGUUGCUAACAUAGCUUGUUGAGUUGAAAUGGAAUCAGAUAUGAGUAAUCGAUACCGAUCUUGUGAGCUACCAAUUAGCUUGAUGUCUAUAACCUGAACGAGUGGUUUUAAGUUCAAAUCACCUCCAAUUAUAGCAGAAAUCGCAUUCGAAGUUAAAUUCACAGGCAUUUUUUCAGAUCUAGAAAACCCUAGAUAUGUGGAAAAGAUGAAAUCGAGAGAAAUUGAAAUAAAGAUUUGAAUUGCAAUGAAGAAAAAAUUGCAGAAAUCGAAAUGUGAAUUGAACUCCUUGUUUUGGAGAUCGAAAACCCUAAAAAAAAUUGAUUUCAGAGAGAAAGUAGAGAAGAGAGAGAAAGAGAGAUAGAAAUGGGAGGAGACUGGAGAGGUUAAUGGCGGG